rnacentral:lncRNA from 1 species
AUGUUGACCAGCGUGAAAACCACAAACCUGGAUUUGCUUGUUGACAGUUUGCACGGAGUGUGUGUCACGGACAUUUUCCUCCCAAAUCUCAGCUACCUGCAGCAGCGCCUUCACAGCGCAUUCUUAUCUGGGGACCGGAAGCUUAAAGAUGCUAGUUUUAACACAAGGAAAGUGGAGGACCUGCAGUUUCGUGUGGAGGAAGCGUGCAUCACCAGAGGAGACCUGGAGGUGGUCACGGUGUCUGAGCGCUCCCGGAUCAUGGAGCUGGAGAGGGAGGUGGCAGACCUCCAGCUCAGGCUCCGGGCGUCCCAGCAGAAGGAGGACGCUGCGUCUCUGUCGCAGCAGCAGAUCAGCAGCCUCAAGACUCAGGUUCAGUCUCAGGAGAAGAAGGUUUGUGGGGAAACACCAGAGCUCUUUAUUUUGAGUCAAUCCCAGCUCUGUACAGAUGUGUGUGUGUGUGUGUGUGUGUGUGUGUGUGUGUGUGUGCGUGCGUGCGUGUGUGUGUGUGUGAACAGGUCAGUGAGCUGA